rnacentral:lncRNA from 1 species
GCUUAUUGAUUUACUCUGCCUUUCAUUGCCCAAUAUGCUAAACCCCAAAGGAUGUACACAUCAAUAUUCUAUUUGUUUUAACAAAAGGGCUUACAAAAUGCAAAUUGUUGUCAAAACCUAAAUAGGUCCAUAUAAACACCAAUUUGAUGAAGUCAAAAUCUCUGCAACACUCAACUGUCAAUCCUUCCUUUCUUUUUCCUCCUCCAAGUCGCCUCACAAAGAAGCCCUAAUAAUGUGUUACAGAAGGUCAACCAUCCGCCAUUACGUUGACCGUUUCAGUCAGCAAAGAUGAUCAAUCCAGAUAUAGAAAUUUAAUUCUAAUUACUACAAUGAAACUUACAUCGGUAGCGCGCCCUCUCUAGCCGUUUCAGAAGCUUCUCAGUCUAAUCCUAUAAAUAUACGCCGCAUACAACACAAUCACCCCCCAUCGACAUAACCCUCAUAUUUAGAUUUACCACCUUUUAUUUUCUUCCAUGAGAUUCAAGAAACGAGAGCAAUGGUUA